rnacentral:rRNA from 1 species
UACGUAGGGGGCAAGCGUUGUCCGGAUUUAUUGGGCGUAAAGAGCGUGUAGGCGGCCUGAAAGGUCAGCUGUGAAAACUCGAGGCUCAACCUCGAGACGUCGGUUGAAACCAUCUGGCUAGAGUCCGGAAGAGGAGUGUGGAAUUCCUGGUGUAGCGGUGAAAUGCGCAGAUAUCAGGAGGAACACCAAUGGCGAAGGCAGCUCGCUGGGACGUGACUGACGCUGAGACGCGAAAGCGUGGGGAGCAAACAGG